CAACCAUUUCUAAACGAGCUAAGUCGUAUUCCCUUUCCAGAUAAGUGCGUAACCACCUCUGAGGAAAUCAGCAGCCACAUUUACUAGAAGUCCUGAAGCAUUCAUAGUAAAGGUGACGCUCACGUAGGUCCCAAUCCAAUUCCUAUUUUUUUGGCAGAGAUGAGCCCUGCCACACAUGGAGGAAAAAGCCAAGUUUUCAGUUCUUCCAUUUACUGAUUGAAGUGUUUUUAUAAUGGGUUUGCUGAGAAGAAUCCCGUGUCCCCGAGACUUAAAGACUUACAGCUCCUAGAACAACCAGCAGGGUAAAAGUGUUACUAAGAGGAAUGUGCCAGUUGAAAUGAUGUUAGAGACACAAAGGUGUCUGGUCAGCUCAAAGGGAAGACAGAGCCAACACUGGAUUUCAGUUACACCCGUAUAAAUCUGCAGUAGCAGCACUGAGUCCAAGUUAUCCCUGAGCCGGUGCUUGGAGAAAGUGGGAGUGGCUUUUCCUAGCCUUAUUUAUGGGCUGGGGCUGCAAGCUUGGCUUCUGACAUGGACUACUAAAGCAUUCCUCAGCCCUUGAUUUGCAUCCCUCGUGAGCCAUCACCAGGGCGCAGAAUUGC